UUGAUUGAUUCAUCAAGUACUCCGACGUACAGAUCCAGAAUUAAAGUGGUCCGCCGGGGGCCCCGGCGCGGAGGCCGGGUCGCCCCCGAGGCAACAAGUGUUGGUCAACAAAGGGUUGGAGGUCGGGCCGGAGGCCCUCACUCGGUAAUGAUCCCUCCGCAGGUUCACCUACGGAGA
rnacentral:misc_RNA from 1 species